rnacentral:rRNA from 1 species
AAAUUGAAGGGUUUGAUCAUGGCUCAGAUUGAACGCUGGCGGCAGGCCUAACACAUGCAAGUCGAACGGUAACAGGAAGAAGCUUGCU